UGCCCCUUGGCUGAGUUGGUUACAGCGUCCGACUGUUAUCGCUCAAUCGGAAGGUCGUGAGUUCGAGCCUCACAGGGGCAG